rnacentral:tRNA from 1 species
GGUUCGUUCGUCUAACGGCAAGGACAACUGGUUUUCAUCCAGUCAACGGGAGUUCAACUCUCCUACGAACCU